UACGGAGGAUCCAAGCGUUAUCCGGAUUUAUUGGGUUUAAAGGGUGCGUAGGCGGGUUGAUAAGUCAGUGGUGAAAGUUUGCAGCUUAACUGUAAAAUUGCCGUUGAAACUGUCAAUCUUGAGUGCAAGUGAGGUAAGCGGAAUGUGUUGUGUAGCGGUGAAAUGCUUAGAUAUAACACAGAACACCGAUUGCGAAGGCAGCUUACUAAUAUGUAACUGACGCUGAGGCACGAAAGCGUGGGGAUCAAACAGG
rnacentral:rRNA from 2 species